rnacentral:rRNA from 1 species
AGUUUGAUCCUGGCUCAGGAUGAACGCUGACAGAAUGCUUAACACAUGCAAGUCUACUUGAAUUUGGGUUUUUUAACUUCGAUUUGGGUGGCGGACGGGUGAGUAACGCGUAAAGAACUUGCCUCACAGCUAGGGACAACAUUUGGAAACGAAUGCUAAUACCUGAUAUUAUGAUUAUAGGGCAUCCUAGAAUUAUGAAAGCUAUAUGCGCUGUGAGAGAGCUUUGCGUCCCAUUAGCUAGUUGGAGAGGUAACGGCUCACCAAGGCGAUGAUGGGUAGCCGGCCUGAGAGGGUGAACGGCCACAAGGGGACUGAGACACGGCCCUUACUCCUACGGGAGGCAGCAGUGGGGAAUAUUGGACAAUGGACCGAGAGUCUGAUCCAGCAAUUCUGUGUGCACGAUGAAGUUUUUCGGAAUGUAAAGUGCUUUCAGUUGGGAAGAAAAAAAUGACGGUACCAACAGAAGAAGUGACGGCUAAAUACGUGCCAGCAGCCGCGGUAAUACGUAUGUCACGAGCGUUAUCCGGAUUUAUUGGGCGUAAAGCGCGUCUAGGUGGUUAUGUAAGUCUGAUGUGAAAAUGCAGGGCUCAACUCUGUAUUGCGUUGGAAACUGUGUAACUAGAGUACUGGAGAGGUAAGCGGAACUACAAGUGUAGAGGUGAAAUUCGUAGAUAUUUGUAGGAAUGCCGAUGGGGAAGCCAGCUUACUGGACAGAUACUGACGCUGAAGCGCGAAAGCGUGGGUAGCAAACAGGAUUAGAUACCCUGGUAGUCCACGCCGUAAACGAUGAGCACUAGGUGUCGGGGUCGUAAGGCUUCGGUGCCGUAGUUAACGCAUUAAGUGCUCCGCCUGGGGAGUACGCACGCAAGUGUGAAACUCAAAGGAAUUGACGGGGACCCGCACAAGCAGCGGAGCAUGUGGUUUAAUUCGAAGCAACGCGAAGAACCUUACCAGGGCUUGACAUUUAGGUGAAGCGGCGGAAACGUCGUGGCCGAAAGGAGCCUAAACAGGUGGUGCAUGGCUGUCGUCAGCUCGUGUCGUGAGAUGUUAGGUUAAGUCCUGCAACGAGCGCAACCCUCGUCGUAUGUUGCCAGCGGUUAGGCCGGGCACCCAUACGAGACCGCCGGCGUCAAGCCGGAGGAAGGUGGGGACGACGUCAAGUCAUCAUGCCCCUUAUGUCCUGGGCUACACACGUGCUACAAUGGCCGGCACAAUGGGCUGCCAACCCGCGAGGGUGAGCGAAUCCCUAAAGCCGGUCCCAGUUCGGAUUGGAGGCUGCAACCCGCCUCCAUGAAGUCGGAGUUGCUAGUAAUCGCGGAUCAGCACGCCGCGGUGAAUGCGUUCCCGGGCCUUGUACACACCGCCCGUCACACCACCCGAGUCGAUUGCACCCGAAGUCGUCGGCCUAACCUUUUAGGAGGGAGACGCCGAAGGUGUGGUUGGUAAGGGGGGUGAAGUCGUAACAAGGUAGCCGUACCGGAAGGUGCGGCUG